CCUACGGGAGGCAGCAGUAAGGAAUAUUGGUCAAUGGAGGCAACUCUGAACCAGCCAUGCCGCGUGCAGGAAGACUGCCCUAUGGGUUGUAAACUGCUUUUAUACGGGAAUAAACCUUGAUUCGUGAAUCGAGCUGAAUGUACCGUAAGAAUAAGGAUCGGCUAACUCCGUGCCAGCAGCCGCGGUAAUACGGAGGAUCCAAGCGUUAUCCGGAUUUAUUGGGUUUAAAGGGAGCGUAGGCGGCCUAUUAAGUCAGGGGUGAAAGACGGUGGCUCAACCAUCGCAGUGCCUUUGAUACUGGUAGGCUUGAAUGUAGUUGAGGUAGGCGGAAUGUGACAAGUAGCGGUGAAAUGCAUAGAUAUGUCACAGAACACCGAUUGCGAAGGCAGCUUACUAAGCUAUGAUUGACGCUGAGGCUCGAAAGCGUGGGGAUCAAACAGGAUUAGAUACCCUGGUAGUCCACGCCCUAAACGAUGAUAACUCGAUGUUGGCGAUAUACUAGUCAGCGUCCGAACGACGAACGACGGUUAAGUUUAAGUUACCUACCCGUCGGGGUACGGGUACCGGCCCCGGCCCGACGGGUAGGUAACGUACGAACGUAGUAAGUUAGUACGGGACGUAGAGGACGUUGCCGACGGGACCGGACCGACCGACGGGGAGGGUAGGGAG
rnacentral:rRNA from 1 species